GGGGCUGAUUCUGGAUUCGACGGGAUUUGCGAAGCCCUAGGAGCAUGCCGAGGGGCGGUUGGCCUCGUAAAAAGCCGCAAAAAAAUAGUCGCAAACGACGAAAACUACGCUUUAGCAGCUUAAUACCCUGCUCAGAGCCCUCUCUCCCUAGCCUCCGCUCUUAGGACGGGGAUCAAGAGAGGUCAAACCUAAAAGAGAUCGCGUGGAUGCCUUGCCUGGGGCUGAAGCGUUAAACCCAAUCAGGAUAGUUUGUUAGUGGCGUGUCCAUCCGCAGCUGACCGGCGAAUGUAAAGAUUGGACUAAGCAUGUAGUGCCGACGGUGUAGUAAUUUCGGACGGGGGUUCAAAUCCCCCCAGCUCCACC
rnacentral:tmRNA from 1 species